rnacentral:rRNA from 1 species
UACGUAGGGACCAAGCGUUGUUCGGAUUUACUGGGCGUAAAGGGCGCGUAGGCGGCAAUUUAAGUCAGUUGUGAAAUCUCCGAGCUUAACUCGGAACGGUCAACUGAUACUGCUAUGCUAGAGUACAGAAGGGGCAAUCGGAAUUCUUGGUGUAGCGGUGAAAUGCGUAGAUAUCAAGAGGAACACCAGAGGUGAAGACGGGUUGCUGGACUGAUACUGACGCUGAGGCGCGAAAGCUAGGGUAGCAAACAGG